GCCUGAUCCCGUGGGAGCACUAAGUAUAUGAAGUUGUGGAUGACAAAGCUGAAAAAGAGAGGCUCAUUGUCCUCUGAUGUGGAGGGUCAUCAACAUUUCAACUACUCACAUCUUAACACAGCAUAGUCACGGAUGAAGAUGGCUGUGAGCUUAGCAGGGCUCUAGCAAUGGCAAGCUCUCAACCAAGUGGUGCUUCAACAAUUAGCAGCCACAAGAUGCUUGCGUGCAGAAUUUUUAUGAGUGCAUCAUUGAACUCAAUGGAUCCUCCACGUGAGACAUUCCAUCCACACAAGCCCUGGAGUACGAGCACAGACACCUGUCAGACCGAGGGGCUUGCACGGGGCUUGGUCCACACUAUGGCCCUAAUGCGGCCCACCUCCACUCCCAUGAAAACACUCCCCCCUUGGAAGGAGCAUUCUUGCCUGGAAACUUCUUUACCCUAUUUGUGAGCUUUUUGCAGAGAUGAAGAAAAACAAUGUUAAAAAACAACCAACAACAACAAAAACAAAACCAUCCACAAUGAACUCAAAAGACUGAGUUGUGCCAAAAUUAAAGAUACCUGUUAGUCCAAAAAUCAAAUAUCUAUUAACCUGAUCCUGCAAUAAAUAUUCAAUAAAAAUUAUUGUCCUCAAUGAUGACAAUGUAGCCCUACAUUAUCACAAAAUUUUCUAAAUAUUCAAAGAAAGAAUAAAUCAUGUUCAAUGUCAUU
rnacentral:lncRNA from 1 species